UACGUAGGGUGCGAGCGUUAAUCGGAAUUACUGGGCGUAAAGCGUGCGCAGGCGGUUUUGUAAGCCAGAUGUGAAAGCCCCGGGCUUAACCUGGGAAUUGCAGUGGAUACUGGCAAGCUGGAGUAUGGUAGAGGAAGGUGGAAUUCCCGGUGUAGCAGUGAAAUGCGUAGAGAUCGGGAAGAACACCAGUGGCGAAGGCGACUUACUGGACUGUAACUGACGCUGAGGCAUGAAAGCGUGGGGAGCAAACAGG
rnacentral:rRNA from 1 species